GGUUAAGCGACUAAGCGUACACGGUGGAUGCCCUGGCAGUCAGAGGCGAUGAAGGACGUGCUAAUCUGCGAAAAGCGUCGGUAAGGUGAUAUGAACCGUUAUAGCCGGCGAUGUCCGAAUGGGGAAACCCAGUGCAAUUCGUUGCACUAUCGUUAACUGAAUACAUAGGUUAACGAGGCGAACCGGGGGAACUGAAACAUCUAAGUACCCCGAGGAAAAGAAAUCAACCGAGAUUCCCCCAGUAGCGGCGAGCGAACGGGGAGCAGCCCAGAGUCUGAAUCAGCUUGUGUGUUAGUGGAACGGUCUGGAAAGUCCGACGGUACAGGGUGAUAGUCCCGUACACCAAAAUGCACAGGUUGUGAACUCGAAGAGUAGGGCGGGACACGUGGUAUCCUGUCUGAAUAUGGGGGGACCAUCCUCCAAGGCUAAAUACUCCUGACUGACCGAUAGUGAACCAGUACCGUGAGGGAAAGGCGAAAAGAACCCCGGCGAGGGGAGUGAAAAAGAACCUGAAACCGUGUACGUACAAGCAGUGGGAGCACCUUCGGGUGUGACUGCGUACCUUUUGUAUAAUGGGUCAGCGACUUAUAUUCUGUAGCAAGGUUAACCGUAUAGGGGAGCCGCAGGGAAACCGAGUCUUAACUGGGCGUUAAGUUGCAGGGUAUAGACCCGAAACCCGGUGAUCUAGCCAUGGGCAGGUUGAAGGUUGGGUAACACUAACUGGAGGACCGAACCGACUAAUGUUGAAAAAUUAGCGGAUGACUUGUGGCUGGGGGUGAAAGGCCAAUCAAACCGGGAGAUAGCUGGUUCUCCCCGAAAGCUAUUUAGGUAGCGCCUCGUGAAUUCAUCUUCGGGGGUAGAGCACUGUUUCGGCUAGGGGGUCAUCCCGACUUACCAACCCGAUGCAAACUACGAAUACCGAAGAAUGUUAUCCCGGGAGACACACGGCGGGUGCUAACGUCCGUCGUGAAGAGGGAAACAACCCAGACCGCCAGCUAAGGUCCCAAAGUCAUGGUUAAGUGGGAAACGAUGUGGGAAGGCACAGACAGCCAGGAUGUUGGCUUAGAAGCAGCCAUCAUUUAAAGAAAGCGUAAUAGCUCACUGGUCGAGUCGGCCUGCGCGGAAGAUGUAACGGGGCUAAACCAUGCACCGAAGCUGCGGCAGCGACACUAUGUGUUGUUGGGUAGGGGAGCGUUCUGUAAGCCUGCGAAGGUGUGCUGUGAGGCAUGCUGGAGGUAUCAGAAGUGCGAAUGCUGACAUAAGUAACGAUAAAGCGGGUGAAAAGCCCGCUCGCCGGAAGACCAAGGGUUCCUGUCCAACGUUAAUCGGGGCAGGGUGAGUCGACCCCUAAGGCGAGGCCGAAAGGCGUAGUCGAUGGGAAACAGGUUAAUAUUCCUGUACUUGGUGUUACUGCGAAGGGGGGACGGAGAAGGCUAUGUUAGCCGGGCGACGGUUGUCCCGGUUUAAGCAUGUAGGCUGGUUGUCCAGGCAAAUCCGGAUAAUCAAGGCUGAGGUGUGAUGACGAGGCACUACGGUGCUGAAGUAACAAAUGCCCUGCUUCCAGGAAAAGCCUCUAAGCAUCAGGUAACAUCAAAUCGUACCCCAAACCGACACAGGUGGUCAGGUAGAGAAUACCAAGGCGCUUGAGAGAACUCGGGUGAAGGAACUAGGCAAAAUGGUGCCGUAACUUCGGGAGAAGGCACGCUGGUGUGUAGGUGAAGUCCCUGCGGAUGGAGCUGAGACCAGUCGAAGAUACCAGCUGGCUGCAACUGUUUAUUAAAAACACAGCACUGUGCAAACACGAAAGUGGACGUAUACGGUGUGACGCCUGCCCGGUGCCGGAAGGUUAAUUGAUGGGGUUAUCCGUAAGGAGAAGCUCUUGAUCGAAGCCCCGGUAAACGGCGGCCGUAACUAUAACGGUCCUAAGGUAGCGAAAUUCCUUGUCGGGUAAGUUCCGACCUGCACGAAUGGCGUAAUGAUGGCCAGGCUGUCUCCACCCGAGACUCAGUGAAAUUGAACUCGCUGUGAAGAUGCAGUGUACCCGCGGCAAGACGGAAAGACCCCGUGAACCUUUACUAUAGCUUGACACUGAACAUUGAGCCUUGAUGUGUAGGAUAGGUGGGAGGCUUUGAAGCGUGGACGCCAGUCUGCGUGGAGCCAACCUUGAAAUACCACCCUUUAAUGUUUGAUGUUCUAACGUUGGCCCCUGACCGGGGUUGCGGACAGUGUCUGGUGGGUAGUUUGACUGGGGCGGUCUCCUCCCAAAGCGUAACGGAGGAGCACGAAGGUUAGCUAAUCCUGGUCGGACAUCAGGAGGUUAGUGCAAUGGCAUAAGCUAGCUUGACUGCGAGCGUGACGGCGCGAGCAGGUGCGAAAGCAGGUCAUAGUGAUCCGGUGGUUCUGAAUGGAAGGGCCAUCGCUCAACGGAUAAAAGGUACUCCGGGGAUAACAGGCUGAUACCGCCCAAGAGUUCAUAUCGACGGCGGUGUUUGGCACCUCGAUGUCGGCUCAUCACAUCCUGGGGCUGAAGUAGGUCCCAAGGGUAUGGCUGUUCGCCAUUUAAAGUGGUACGCGAGCUGGGUUUAGAACGUCGUGAGACAGUUCGGUCCCUAUCUGCCGUGGGCGCUGGAGAAUUGAGGGGGGCUGCUCCUAGUACGAGAGGACCGGAGUGGACGCAUCACUGGUGUUCGGGUUGUCAUGCCAAUGGCACUGCCCGGUAGCUAAAUGCGGAAGAGAUAAGUGCUGAAAGCAUCUAAGCACGAAACUUGCCCCGAGAUGAGUUCUCCCUGAGACUUUAAGUCUCCUGAAGGAACGUUGAAGACGACGACGUUGAUAGGCCGGGUGUGUAAGCGCAGCGAUGCGUUGAGCUAACCGGUACUAAUGAACCGUGAGGCUUAACCUU
rnacentral:rRNA from 1 species